CCUACGGGGGGCAGCAGUGAGGAAUAUUGGUCAAUGGGCUUACGCCUGAACCAGCCAAGUCGCGUGAGGGAAGACUGCCCUAUGGGUUGUAAACCUCUUUUGUCAGGGAGCAAUUGGCGCUACGUGUAGCGUUAUCGAGAGUACCUGAAGAAAAAGCAUCGGCUAACUCCGUGCCAGCAGCCGCGGUAAUACGGAGGAUGCGAGCGUUAUCCGGAUUGAUUGGGUUUAAAGGGUGCGUAGGCGGAAUGCCAAGUCAGCGGUAAAAUCGCGGGGCUCAACCUCGCUCCGCAGUUGAAACUGGCGUUCUUGAGUGGGCGAGAAGUAUGCGGAAUGCGUGGUGUAGCGGUGAAAUGCAUAGAUAUCACGCAGAACUCCGAUUGCGAAGGCAGCAUACCGGCGCCCAACUGACGCUGAAGCACGAAAGCGUGGGUAUCGAACAGGAUUAGAUACCCUUGUAGUC
rnacentral:rRNA from 1 species